rnacentral:rRNA from 1 species
UGCAGAAUCCCGUGAACCAUCGAGUCUUUGAACGCAAGUUGCGCCCGAUGCCAUUAGGUUGAGGGCACGUCUGCCUGGGUGUCACAUAUCGAAGCCUCCUGCCAACAUCCUGUUCACAGGGCGUUGUGCACGGCAAAUGUUGGCCUCCCGUAGCUCUUCCGGCUCACGGUUGGUUGAAAAUCGAGACCUUGGUAGGGUGUGCCAUGAUUGAUGGUGGUUGUGUGCCUCACGAGAACUUGAAAAUCAUACACUACUCUGCCAAAAGUGGCCUCCGUUACCCAUUUUGCGUUUGCGAACGCUCGUGAUGAGACCUCAGGUCAGGCGGGGCUACCCGCUGAAUUUAAGCAUAUCAAUAAGCGGAGGAAAAGAAACUAACAAGGAUUCCCUUAGUAACGGCGAGCGAACCGGGAUAAGCCCACCAUGAGAAUCGGAUGCCCUCGGCAUUCGA